GGAAAAGUCUGCCUGUAAUAUACCUUUUCCACGGCAGACAUGUUGACAUGUCAUAGUAGGAAAAGCACAGGUGUAUUCAAAACCAUUAAUGAUGGCUGCAUUCCUCUUAGGAGAGACCCUGGUAUGGUGCAUGCUGACUCACUGAAAUAGCUUACUGGGACACUUGAUGGAAUUGAGCCAUCGUUAAGGUUAUCAAUUUCAGCUGUGCUUUUCCUACUAUGACAAGUCAAAAUGUCUGUUUUGAAAAAGGUCCAUUAAAUCAGGGCAGAUGAGUAGUCGAGCCCUGUUGCAUGAGUUCAGCAGGUUCGUGCUGGCCGCAUCAACCGGCAGGGUAUGGGAACCCAAUCAUAAACCUCACAGUCUCUUCCAAGCUGCUCUGCUUUAACAAUCAAGGAGGGGGGGAAUGGUCUGGACUUCCUGAUAUGGGGUUUCCCAGG